GGGCGUAUAGCUCAACUGGUUAGAGCGUCUCGGUGACAUCGAGAAGGUUUCCCGUUCGAGUCGGGAUACGCCCA
rnacentral:tRNA from 2 species